GAAGUCCGGCCAGUGGACGCGGUGCCCAUCCGAGCCCCCUCCCGGUUACGCUGGCGCGGUGCGCCCUUCCCGGAUGCCCUCCGGCUGUCCGGGAACCGCAAAGCCGACAGCCGUCGCAUCCGAGGGAGCCCUUUUCAUG
rnacentral:sRNA from 1 species